UAUUGCGCAAUGGCCGAAAGGCUGACGCAGCGACGCCGCGUGUGGGAUGAAGGUCUUCGGAUUGUAAACCACUGUCGGGAGGGACGAAGCUCUGACGGUACCUCCAAAGGAAGCCCCGGCUAACUCUGUGCCAGCAGCCGCGGUAAUACAGAGGGUGCGAGCGUUGUCCGGAAUCACUGGGCGUAAAGGGCGCGUAGGUGGCCAGGUAAGUAGGGGGUGAAAUGUUGCGGCUCAACCGCAGCGCUGCCUCCUAGACUGUCUGGCUGGAGCCCAGUAGAGGCAGGUGGAAUUCCCGGUGUAGCGGUGGAAUGCGUAGAGAUCGGGAAGAACACCAGUGGCGAAGGCGGCCUGCUGGGCUGUCCUGACGCUGAGCGCGA
rnacentral:rRNA from 1 species